UCUCUCUCAUUUUCUACACCAGAGCUCUGCAAAAAUGGCGAUUCCCUAAAUAUCAAGAGAUUUCAAGUCAUUUUCAUCGCAAACAGAUCUGUGUAGUUCGUGUGUGUGAUUUUUAUCCAUUUGUAGUGCUGUUUUGUGAAGAUUUUCAAGCAAAGAAAGUAACUGGUUACUCAAUACGGUGGUUUUCUUACAAGAGAUUAACACAAUUUUCGUAGACAUAACGAGGAAUUCGAUGAAUGGGUUAAAAAUAGAAGUUAGGGUUUUGAAUCUGGUGCUGGCUGUAGAUAGGAGAACAAGUGGUGACAGAGAUGGAUCGUUCACAAGAAAAGGAAUCUGAGAAGGAUAUGGGACUGGUGGUGUUGAUAAAAUGGGUUGUUGUUGAAGUUGUAUGUGGAGAAAGUGCAGAGAAACAAUGGGUCUGGUAGUAUGAUUGCAGUGACUGAAGUUGGUGGUUGAACUGGUGGAUUUCUGAGAAGAUUGUGGGACUUUCAGAGAAUGGUGUUGGUGGUUAAGAAGAAAUUGUUACUGCAAUGAAUGUAAGCAGUUUUAGAUGGCUCAAAUGUUGUGAUUUGAGAAUGUGUAGGGACUGAAAUUGCAAGGAAGAUGGAGUGACAAUGGUUAACAAAUCUGGUGAUGGAUAUAGAGUUGUAAUACAGCUGAAGGUGAAGCAACAUGAAUGGGUUAUAGAUAGGGUUUGAUGAAAUUGAUCUGAUAUUGUUGUUGGUGCUUGAUACUGCAAUUUCAGUUUGCUGCAGCUGCAGUUCGAGUUAAUGGCUAGAAGAGACUGGCAAUGAAUGCUUGGUUUGUUAGAAAAUCACCAAAGUUACACGGCGCGUUCAAGUUUUUCAACAAGUUUUAGCCAAUGAAGUUUCGCCAAGGUUCAUGCUCAGUUCGUACAACUCCAACAUUAUUACAAAGUUAAGUGAUACCUUUUGUUAUCGAUGUAUCAUCGUCGAUGUCUUCUUAUCUUCAUUGUUAAUUGUUCAAGUUGCACACUAUGUUUCUCUACGUUUCCAACUUGAGGGGGAGUAUUAGAGUAGUAUAUCGCUUAUGUACAAGUAGCCGAGGUGUAAAGAAUGACUAAGGCAGCUAUAUUAUGAAGUGAAGACCAAGCAAGUGACCGAGCAGCCAACGCACGUGAAGUGAAGACCAAGUCAAGUGAACUGCACUCAAGGCACGUGAAGCAAAGAACAAGACAAAACAUAAACCUAACAUAAUUAUCUUCCUAGGUCUAAUUUACUCUAUAAAGAAGAGUUUCCAUGUAACUGUAAAACUAUCUCAGAGUAUUCUGAAGAUCAAUAAUAUCUCUCACCUUACGGGUUUCAUCCGCGGAUGUA